rnacentral:snRNA from 1 species
AUGAUUUACAGUGCAAGAUGUUU